CUCUAGUCCGCAUCCAGCUCCUCCAAAAGUCAUCUCCUCCUCUCAGGAACAUCUUGCCUGUUUUCGAGUGGAUUCGCUGCAUGGAGGUCGCGGUUAGCAAAGAAGAAGGAGGUCUCUCAGGUCUGUGCUUCCCUGGCAAGAGGAAAUGGAUAUUACAGCUGCUUUGUUUGGACCAGCCCUUUUUCUCACCAUCUUUUUGGUCUGUCCCUGGCCACAUGCUGCUGGAAUGCUCUUCAAACGUAUCCUGCCUCAUGGAUCUGGCCAAUGCUGUUCUGAUGUUACCCCGAGAGAGCUUCUGGUGGAACUUUGGUGAACGAGGACCCAGGGAGUUAAACUGGAUGGUUUUCUGUCUGCUUCCAUGAGACAAGAGAGAGGAAAAUCCAUGCACAGAGCUGAUUCACGGAGGACCCCUCAGAAGAAGCCCCACUGAAGCCACCGACUGCGUACGUUGUUGCUGUGGCAGAAUUAUGUCUUUCCCGGGUCAAGC